rnacentral:tRNA from 1 species
AUAGCCCAACAGGCAGAGGCAACAGACUUAAAAUCUGUAAAGUGCGAGUUCAAAUCUCGCUUCGAGCACCA